ensembl:lncRNA
AUAUGGGGCAUUGUAAUUUUAUAAGCAAUGUGUAAAAAGUAUUUAAUAAUAAUAUAUCAUUUUCUUAAUCAGAAUAUAUUAUGCAGUGUUUUAUAUCAAAUAUAAUGUUUUAUUUAAAUGUCGUUUUAUUUUAUUGUUGCAUUUAUUAUACUGAUUAUUAAAUAUACUGUAUUAUAUUAUAUUGUAUCUAUUAUUAUUAUUAUAUACAAUAUUUUGUCUUCUAAGGACACUGUUUGUUGAUUCAGUUUUUAACAACAGCUUGUCAGUGGGGCAGUACCCUCAAAAGGUUUUCCAUUUAAAGGGAUACUACACCACAAAAUUCAAAUUUUGUCAUCAUUUUUCCCUCAUGCCAUUCCUAACCUACAAGAAGGUUAUAAAUAUAUAUUUGUGUAGAUGAAAGAAAGUCAAGUUUACAAUGACUUGAAUAAAUGGUGAAUAAAUGAUAACACAAUUUCCAUUGAACUAUGCCUUUAAAUUAACACCUUUUGAGGUUUGUUGUAACCUGAACAGUUUUUUUUUCUUUACAGUGUAAAAUGGUAAUGUAAAGAAAAUGCAAAUAAUGAGAAUUUCCGAUUCAGACAGCAGCAUUCAGUUUUAAGGAUUGACAAUGAAAUACUUGCGUUCUUAUGUUUCAUGUAACUGUCCUUGUUAUAGAUGCAAAAGGAUUGUCAAACCCAUCAGAGGUCGAGGCAUUACGGGAAAAAGUGUACGCUUCACUGGAGGCCUACACCAAACACAAUUACCCCGAUCAGCCCGGCAGGUUUGCCAAGCUGCUCCUCCGUCUGCCCGCACUGCGCUCCAUAGGACUGAAGUGCCUGGAGCAUCUGUUCUUCUUCAAACUCAUCGGAGACACACCUAUAGACACUUUCCUCAUGGAGAUGCUGGAGGCGCCGCAUCAAAUCACAUGACACAAGUCUUACUGCGUGUAAAUAUCCCCCAGCGCACACUUAACCCCAUUAUAACAAAAAGCAGUUCUUAUUUUGUACCAAGCACAAAGUGAAAAACAAACAAACACACAAAAGAUUUGUAUUGGUAUUUUCAAAGAAAGAGACACCGUUGAAAUAAAUUGUAAGAGUACUGUAAACCUUUAUUUUGU